AUUCUAGUUUGGGCAGCAUAUACACUAAAAUUAGAAUGGUAUGGAGAAGAAUAACACUGUCCCUGGGCCAGGAGGGUAUUCAAAUGUGAAGUCUUUCAUAUUUUU
ensembl:snRNA RNU6-1334P RNA, U6 small nuclear 1334, pseudogene